GGAGAGGUGCUAGAGCUGGUUGAAUAGGGCACACUCGAAAUGUGCUGUUUAGGAUAUUUUCCUGAACCGUGGGUUCGAAUCCCACCCUCUCCG
rnacentral:tRNA from 1 species